rnacentral:lncRNA from 1 species
GGAACAACAAUAUGAACUAGCCAGUACCCCCAGAGCUCGUGUCUCUAGCUGCAUAUGUAUCAGAAGAUGGCCUAGUCCGCCAUCACUGGAAAGAGAGGCCCCUUGGUAUUACAAACUUUAUAUGCCCCAGUAUAGGAGAAUGCCAGGGCCAAAAAGCAGGAGUGGGUGGGUAGGGGAGCAGGUCAGGGGGAGGGUAUAGGGAACUUUCAGGAUAGCAUUUGAAAUGUAAAUAAAGAAAAUAUCUAAUAAAAAAAGAAUGUUAAGCCCUUAUGUAUAUGCUAAACAGUGGCAUAACUAGGUCACAUGAUAGAUUUAUUUUCAACUUUUGAGAUUUCUCCACUGAUUUUUUUUUUUUUUUUUUUGAAAAAUCUCCACACUGAUUUCCAGGGUAACUGCACUAAUUUGUAUUCCUAACAUUAGGGAAUUAAGAUUCGUCUUUCAGCACAACGCUCCAGCAUUUGUUGUUAUUUUGUUGAUCUUAGCUGUUCUGACUAAGGUCAGGCAAAGUCUCUAAAGCUGCUUUAAUUUGCAUUUCCCUAAUUUCUAAGGAUGAUAAGCACUUUCUUUUUUUUUUUUUUUUUUUUUUCGAGACAGGGUUUCUCUUUGUAGCCCUGGCUGUCCUGGAACUCACUCUGUAGACCAGGCUGGCCUUGAACUCAGAAAUCAGCCUGCCUCUGCCUCCUAAGUGCUGGGAUUAAAGGCCUGUGCCACUAUGCCUGGCUAAGCACUUUUAAAGCCAUUUCUCAGCCACCUUUAUAUGUCUUCUAUUGAGAACUCUCAGUUUAAAUCCCUAGCCCACUUUUUAUUUGGAUCAUUUUUUCUUGAUUCUUUGCUUUUGAGUGCUUUGUAUAUUGUAUAUAUUAAUCUUCUGACAGAUAAAGAGCAGAAAAUGAUCCCAGUAUCUGACAGAAGAAACUUUCUUUCAAGUGAUUGGUCACGGUAGUCCACAUGACUCCCAAAACAACAGAACCCACUAAUGUAGCUCUUUGUUCUAGCUCAGGAGUUUAGGGCCAUUUUGCUGAAGGCACAGGACUGAGAUUCUUGAGCUAGACCUGACCUAAAAGCCACUUUCCUGAAAUUUAACUUCUGUGGUUCUAGGAAAUCCCAUGCCCGCCCGCCCACUGUGAAGCAAUGAAAACCAAUAAACAGUCCUAGCCAGCAGAAACACCUGUGAAUCAUGACAAUUAUGAAUCUGGGAAGAUAUGCAAAAUAGUGCAGGAAGUGGCAUUCACAUGUCAGUGGCAGUCAACAGUUUCCUGACACUAGUGAGGUCCUGGACCUUAGGAAAGAAUCUACUUCUGCCACAUUGCCAGAGCAGCAUAAUUUCUCAUUGCUUUUUAAAUCUUGUUCCUAUAUACAGAAAUAAGUGUGGCUACAACACCUCAUCAAAGAACCUUCUCAUUAUAGCAAAUGAAAACUAUCAUAGAAAACUAGACACAGUGAAGAGAUCAACAGAUUGUGUGGAGGCCAGCCCUAACAGAUACAGCUACACACAGAUCCUGUAUCUAUUCCUCAGGGAAUACCAUCACAGAAGAGGAGGCAGAAAUAUUAUAAGAGCCAGAAUGCCAAAAGGUCUGCUGUGAAACAGUCUCUUCUAGAAAUGGCCACAUAAACAAAACUAGAACAAUAUCAGUGAAACGUUAAUGAGGAAGGGAAGACAUUUCUCAGGGCUUCACCAUUAGACC